rnacentral:rRNA from 1 species
GGGACGAACGCUGGCGGCGUGCUUAACACAUGCAAGUCGAACGGUAAGGCCCCUUCGGGGGUACACGAGUGGCGAACGGGUGAGUAACACGUGAGCAACCUGCCCUUGACAUUGGAAUAACAGUUGGAAACAGCUGCUAAUACCGGGUAUGACCUUUCAUCGCAUGGUGGGGGGUGGAAAGCCUUGGCGGUCAAGGAUGGGCUCGCGGCCUAUCAGCUAGUUGGUGAGGUAAUGGCUCACCAAGGCUUCGACGGGUA